AUCCAUUUAGAAUUGAAGCUUUGUAGCAUUUUUGAACUGCAAUAAUUCCCUCAUUCUGUAGUCCUAUGUCUAUACCCAAAAGUUGGGUGCUGUGUAAACCUUCUCCAGUUGUUCUCUGUGUUUCUGGAGCAUUCCAAUUCUAGUGAAGUUUUCACAGCUCCAUUCCUCUGCUCAAAGUAUUUCUCUUCAUGUGAUUUAUUCCUGGCACCAUUGGCUCUUUGUGAUUACUCAGAGCCAAAGAGUCUUAACAGAAUUCUGCUUCCUCUAGUGCUUCACUUUGUACUGAUCAGAAAUGUUGAACAUGAUCCCCUGAACAAGAAAACUUGCUGUUUCUAUGGGAGAAACAUGAAAAUGAGAACAUUGUAUCUAUAAGAUCUCCUGUGCUGGAAAAUAGGGGAACAUUAGCUGUCAAGAAAGACUGCCACAGAUCUACAGACAGAGAAAUAAAUGCAGAAGUGCUAUAUCAAGAUAAUUUUACAUUUUGGAUGGCAGUACAGAUGAACAUCGUGAGUUGAAUAAGAAACUGCUGGAUCAUCUUCUCUCAGGCUCCUUCAGCUUCAUGUGGUGCAUCUCGCUGGAAUAAAGCCUUGCAAAAAGAGCCUUUCUUGCCUCUCCCACUGAGCCAGCUGUGAUGAAAGAUGCAUCCAUAAAAGCAAAGAGAGUAGUGAUUGCACGCUGUGGCCACAGAGUGGAGAAGCACCAGCUAGCUUAUGGCCAGAGGGCACUCACAAGAGUGGCUGCCCCUGAGUCUCUGCUGAGACAUUUCCAGGUGACCGUGAUUGCUGCGAGCACUGCAGAAACAAUACACGAGGACCCCGAGGCAAAGGAAGAAGAGAAGGGUCACCUGAAUGAGUUUCCAAAGGAGUUCAUUACCCUGAAUAAACAACAGGAACAAGUGUCACAGAAAAUGGGUCUGACUAGCACUCUUACAGAGGGGGUGGUAGAAGAGGUGGAUACAACUCUCAUUCAAUCAGGGGAUCUUAUGUAAGGACUAGAUCACUUAACAUAACCAAUAGGGAUCAUUCAGGGGAGGGAAGAAACCUUAUAAACCAAUGAACCAUUGAGACAGAGCUAACAGAACAUUUGAGAACAUGAGGGGAGUGACUACAGUGACUGACAAGAAUAGAGGGCAGAACAACUGGGAUUGACAGAAGCUUAAAAGGGAAUGAGGGGAAGAACAGGGAGACUAACACACUGAUGGGCAGGCAAAUGUGGGGAAAAUAGUGUGGUAAACAACUUAGGAACAAACCAUCUGAGGGAACAAAAUAAGGACCAUGGGAAAAACUAUUAUAACUGACUGACAUAGAAAUUCUAACUUUUGUAUUAAAACAAUUGUAAAAACACCAACUGCCACAGAGAGUUUUCUCAUAUGAGUUCAUUAGAAUGAAAAUGGAAACUGAGUUGGGAAAAUAAAAUAUCUAGACUGUGAAAUAAACUAUGGGCUUUAAAAAAAUGUUUUCUCAAAAAAGAUGACUUAUGUAUUCUAUUUGAUGUAUUAAGUCUAUUGCUGGAAGCAUUUAACAAAAUAUUUUCCACUCCCAGUUACAACCCAUGUGUGAGAACACAAGAAGUGCUUUCUGUCCUCUCACAGAAGCUCUGUUCAGGCAGCAUGAAAGGGUUUCCAAUGCUCAUUGAACCUAUUUUGAAAUGGAAGAUUUUACUUAGUAAUAGGACUUUGGGUUUUGUUUUUUGUUGGUGAAGAUGUAUAACACUUAAAACACACCUAGCAAAGUAAUAACCUGGUUACAGAAAUUAAUAGACUCUACUUCAGAGUUGUGUCAGAUAUUUUUGCAUCUGACACUGUCAGAUGUUUACGAUUGGUAAAGUGUCAGAUGUUUACUAUUGGUAAAGAAAUAAAUGCUUUUUGACAACCUACAAAAGAUAUGAAGAAAAGGUGGAGGCCACAGUUGGCUUUAAAUAAUUCAAAAUCAAAUUUGUAACAACAAAACAAAACAAAACAAAAAAAAAGCAAAAAGGACAAGCUUAAGAAAUGAUCUUGCACAACAAAAUAUGUGUGUUUACAGAUAAUACAGUCACUUAAUAGGCACUUCCAGUAAAUAGAAGCAUUGUCACCUACUGAUUUUUCUUAUGAUUCUAUAACUAAGAAAACAUAAUAAUGAAUUUUUCUAUUGAUGUUUCAAAAAUGUUUCAAGGAAAUAAGAAAGUAAUUCUUUUAUCAUAAUUCGGUCUCAUAUUUGCCUUGUUUGUAAAUAAAUGUGUCUGCAAAAUAAAUACCACAAUGCAGUUUGGGUGGAGCUUUGGGUUUUCUUUGUUUGUUUUUAAUUGGGAACUUCAAAUAUGUUUUUCAUAUGAAAUAAAUAUCUGAUUUAUAAUAAUUAUUCAAUUAAUUCUACAAAAUUCAAGCUUGCAGGGCAUUGCAGUACAGAAGAGAUUAAAAUGUUCUAAAGAAUAAAAUAAUUAAAAAUUGUGUAUCUUUUACACUGUUAAAAAGUGAUAGAUAUUAGCACAAAAAUUUGUUUGUUGUUCAGGGGUUUUUUUAUGUUUCAUGAGUGCCGAGCAGAUUGUUAACCAAGAGUAAUUUUCCAGGUGAUAUUUGUGGUCUGUAAAAGAGACCAUUUUCCCCACUCAGCUUUGUGUUUUCAAAACCCAGAGUAAUCCGUUCCUUCCAAAGAAAUAUUCCUUCCAAAUGACUGAUGAAUGGAGGCAUCCAUCAGCGUGUAAGUAAUCGACAACUGAACAUUUUAACAGAAGCAAUGCAUAAAGUGGCAUUAUAGAUCAGCUGAACAAUUCAGUAGUUUGUGCCACUAGUGAUAAUUAGCUAUUACAGCUCAGUGGUGUGGUAAAUUGUUCAGCUCCAAAAGGUAUUUCACCAAUACAAUAUUUCCAGAUGCAUAUUUGUCAUGUGUCCAAAUCAUUGCCUCACUUGUACCUCUAAAAAGGAGCAAUGGCAGAAGUAAACCAGUGAAGAACCAAUAGAGUGAACUCAAAAGCUAAGGAGUCAUCUGCAUUUCAGGUGAAUUGCCACAAUAAUAAAUUUUUCUAAAUCCUAUAAUUUUUUUAUAUCUUGCUUUCAGUGCUCUUCUCAUAAAUGGGAGAAGGGUGGUUGUGCCUAUUCUUUCAGUAGAAAAAAAAAUAUUUUUCUUGAAGUGUGGCAUGCACUGAAUGAUAAACUAACUGUAUCUCUAUGUCUGUUGGAUGAAAUUUUUUAUGUAGUGUGUGAAAGAGGAAUAAUUUUGAGUAUGAGCUACUCAACUCUGUCAGUUAAAAAACUAAGUGUAGAAGUAUAUUACGACUAUUAGAGCUAACUGUACUGCCUCUACCUGACUGAGAACAAAUAUUCAGAUGGUUUUCCAUCAAGUAUGCAAACAAAUCCAUUGUCUUAUUCCCUUUUUUAACAGUAAGGAUUUAUGAGUGUAGCAGCAAUAAUAGAAAUACCUCUUUCUUACAGAAGAUUUCUGUGUUUCUGCUGUGAAAAGUAUCAUGCGGAUUUAGAGAAAUCAUUGAAACACAUCACAUUGCUAUAAUGUAUGUGAUUUUGCUGGGCGUUAAAUACCAAAACCGUGUAUGUCCAUUUCAAGAUUUGUAGAUUCUAUCAAAACCCAGUGGUUUCCACAAGAAGAAAGAGUAGGUUCAUGGUAUAAAACAGUAAUAUCUGUUCCUUGGGCCCUGUAGUGGUAGCAGAUUGUGCUUUGGAAUGACAAAAAAGAUUUUGCAAGAAGCUGAUAAUUUUUCUGAGUUAUUUCAUGAUUUAUUACUUACUGUGCAACAUAGAAAUUAUGAGGUACCUUAUCACUCCUUAUUGGAUUGCUUCGAAAGUUCAUUGUGAAAAAUAACAGCUUUCUAUAUACAGUUUUAAUACCUCUUCGGGAGGUUCUCGGACUCAUGGUUCAAGAAUCAGAGAAUGGUUUGGAAGAGACCUUUAAGUUCCAAUGUCCCCUGGAACAGACAAUGACAUCUUUCAUGACAGCAGGUUGCACAAGGCUCUAUCCAAUCUGUCCUUGAACACUUCCAUCUUCUUGGACCCAACUGUUCCAGUGUCCACACUUACUGUAAACAAAAUUCUUCUUUAUAUCUGAUCUAAAUCACCUCUUUUUCAUUUUAAAACCAUUAUGCCUAGUCCUGUUAUUACAGGGACUGGUAAAAAUCCACUCCCCAUCAUUCUUGUAAGCUCCAUUUUUAUAUUGAAAGGCCACAUAUCCUUUACAUAAUCAAAUUUUGAACUUUAACUCUCUCAUCCUUUAUACACAGGAGAGUUUUUCUAGCCCUAUGACCAUUUUCAAGGCCCUCACCUGGUGAGGUUCUCCUGUGGUCACGGAGUGGUGGAAUGCUGGCUAGCAAGUUCCUGGUGUGACCAGAGGGACACAUGAGAGUGGUUGCUUCUGGGCCUUUGCCAAGGCUACACACUGCAACAGGAAGACAACGUAGAAACCAAGGCACUGGGAAUUCAUCUGAUUGCCAUGACUUUUCAAAUACAAUGGAAUUUCCUCUUCAGAAAAAUUUUCAAAAUUUCUGAUGCUCAUUCAUGAUGUCAGUAUUGGAAAUCUAAAGGUAAUUAUGUACUGACUCUUCACAGAGAGAGAACCUACAAGUGUAACUGGAAUAUGCACUGCUCCUCCAGGUAUUUGUCCAAGCUUAAUACUACACACUAGGUAGCUGUGCAGAUGUUGUACACUGUACCCCUUUUCUUCAUCUCCCUACAAGGCAGCUGCAUACUUGAAGGAAUAGGUGGGCUGAAUAGCAAUUUUUACCAUUUUUUCAUUGAAAUAUGGGUCGACAAAGCCAACAGGACAAAAAGAGUAACUUACCCUUGAAAUAAAGAUUUUCAUGAUUCAGAAAAAUAUUUACCUUGUGUUUUGUUGAUUAAGGUUAAGCAAACAGUCCUCUGAAUCAUAUUUUUUCCUUUUUCAUCUCAUUUGGAUGAACCACUAGAAAGUGAUGAGGUAAAGAACAGAUUUGUUGUAACAGUUUAAUCUUCUGUGCAGCACCAAUUGAGGCUGAAAAAAUAAUUUUAAAGUUCAGAAAAGUAUCAGUUUCUUAGAAUUCAAAAUAUGUUGCAAAUGUUGAUUUUUCAUUUUUUAGCAUAUUAUUGUCUUUAAUAUGCCCCUUUGGAAUAGCUUAGACCUCCAGGUCAAAAGUUUUGUGGAAAUGUAUAAUUUGAGAUUAAUUUUUUCUGGAAUGUCAGUUCAAAGUUCAAUUAAACUCUUGAGGAAUGACUAAGUAUUUCAGUUCGCCCAGCUGGGCUUGCUUUUAUGUCGUGCUUUAUGUUACAAAUAAAUUUAGGUGGUAUUUGUAAGUCAUAUGAAUUUUUUAACAGGAAAGUUACUUGGAAAUCUUCUUCCAAGAAAAACAUUACUACUUAACACAAAAGUUUUUCUGAAUUUAGCAAGACGUGUCACAUUAAAUGGCAAUAAAACAAUAAAUCUCAAAAA